UAUAUAUAUAUAUAUAUAUAUAUAUAUAUAUAAAAUUAAUUGAUUCGUGUAUACGAGCGUUUAACGCUCACUGUCGAAAACAUUUGUUUUCCACGAGUCAGCCGAAUCGUAUUCGUACACCCCCCACCUCGCCAAAUUAGUCAGCGACGCGAACCUGUUGCGCUGGGGGUGGUUAGUCUAUUGUCAGAUAUCGCGGUGUUAAGAUGUAUCGCGCCGCAUGACGUUUAUUAACUGCGCGAUACUUUCGUCGUCAUCCUUUCACCGUUUGUGCCCACGCCAUCGUUAACUUCGUUUGAUGUGUAACUCCUUCGCUCUCGAGAGCUUUAAGAGCUCCGUGG